UGAGGGACAUGACUUUCGGCGGGGGAUAGCCGGCCCAACGGCCGGGUAAUACCGCGUACGACCUUUCGGGGACAUCCCCUGCUGGUGAAAGCAGCAAUGCACCGAAAGAGUGCCUCGCGGCCUAUCAGCUAGUUGGUGAGGUAACGGCUCACCAAGGCAACGACGGGUANCUGGUCUGAGAGGAUGGCCAGCCACAUUGGGACUGAGACACGGCCCAGACUCC
rnacentral:rRNA from 1 species